rnacentral:misc_RNA from 1 species
CCAAACUUGGUCAUUUAGAGGAAGUAAAAGUCGUAACAAGGUUUCCGUAGGUGAACCUGCGGAAGGAUCAUUAGUGAAUAAACCGGUGUGGGUUGUUGCUGGCCCUCUUGGGGGUAUGUGCACACCUGCCAUCGUUUCAUUCAUCCCUUCCACCUGUGCACUCUCUGUAGACUAGGCUAUCACCCCUUUCAGUUCACCUGUGUUCUGGCUUGAGGACUUGCCAAUCUGGCUGUCCUUGGAUGGUCCUGGUCUAUGUCUUUUACCAACUCUGUAUGUAACUGAAUGUAUGUCCUGGGUCCUGUACCCAUAAAAUCUAUACAACUUUCAACAACGGAUCUCUUGGCUCUCGCAUCGAUGAAGAACGCAGC